GGGACACGGUGCCACCCCCCUGUGGGGACUUCUCGUGGUGUAACAGGGACUGGAGAUGGGAGCAGGAGGAAUUGGUGGCAUCUGACAGACCGAUGGCAGAGGUUAUUGACACCCUUUUCUGUAAAUUUUCCCUAUAGGUAUCUCCUGAAAUGGGAAGUUUAUAGCAACCAGGAUUAAGCAGAUAAAAGGUCUGGGAAGGGGAAUUGCGUGGCUGGAGCUGAGCUCAGGUCUGCUUCCUUGCUUGCGCCCUGUGUGACCGAGGAGCUGUGGAGCUCGUUUCAGGCCAUGGAGAGAUCUGAUUUAGUAAUCGUGGUUUUGUCACAGGGGCUGGGACUGGCUGCGUCUCCUCAGUGCCUUUCACAGCUUUUAAAAUAAGGCAAAGUAUUGAUAAGGCAGCUAUAAAAACAGGAUUCCCCAAGUGAGGCAGGAAGCUCGGGCUCCUUGUUAUCUGCAGUUUUAGAAGCUGUUUCUGAGAGCGGAGCACAAAGUGAGUUGGCCUCAGAGAAAAUAACUUUUUUUUUCUUUCUUACGCUGUUACAUUGUCUUUCAAAUACACUUUCUCUUCCCAUAAGAUGGGAUCAAAGGGACAUGGUGAGCUAAGUGCCCGCGAUGGUCGAGUUUCGGUAGGUUGAAAGUUUUCUUUCCUCAUUAUUUUAGUGGAAGUCCUCAAAGGAAUCUCGGGGAAAGCAAGAGGACACCUAUGUCAACCCUCAAAGCUUGACAGAAGCAAACACGACAGAGCAUGCAUUGAUUUUUUAGAGAAACAAAGAAGAAACCAAGCUGUUCACAGAAAAUCUCCCUCUUUGGAACCAGCCUCAAAGUUUAGCUUCAGAAGCAGUUGGAGCUUCCCCUGCUGCAGCAGAUGUACAGAGCUGAUGUCCGUCCACAACCAGAGAGAGGGACAGAGGAUCACAGGACUGUGCCCUGGAGGUGACAUUUGCAGGAGAGGAGGGAAAGACAUCAGAGGGACUCUGUGGGGAAUGUCUGUGUAGAUGGAGUGUGUUCUCAUUCUGAUAUCCGGCGUUUAGAAACACUAUUCCAAAGACAGCAUGUACAGAAAUACAAGGGAGAAAAACCAGCCUCAAGCUUAAACUUUUUAGAAAGUGAGGUCAGAGGUGACUUGCUCAGAGUUGAAAUGGGAAAGAGAUUUUUGAGCACAAAGCCAGCACUCGCUGACCAGAUGUAAUAUUUAG
rnacentral:lncRNA from 1 species